rnacentral:lncRNA from 1 species
GAAUCGCAAAGAUCAGCUUCAAGAAUGACAGGACUGGAGCCAUUAGCAAGCUCAUCCAGCAGUAAUCAUCCGUCAGAGACUGUCAGCCCAGGGGUGUGUUUGCUCAGCAAUGGAUGAAGCUGGCAGUGACUCCACCAGGCUGAGUAGUUGCAACACUCAGUGGGAGACCAUCUUCUCCUCAACCAGUGCUAGGUGAGAAGCAGUUCGACCUGGUUUGUAAUUUGGAAUAUCUCUCAUGUGGUCAUUGAGAUGAAGAGUUGAUGGACAGUCUCCAGGGAACUGCAACACCAAUUUGGAUUUGGUAUUUCCUACCGAGAGCACAGGCAGUGCCAACACCGCAGAAGAGAACGAGGAGUAAGGGCUCCAGCUGCUCCUCCACUGCUCGUCAGCUUCUGCAGGCCUCACCUCUGUGAGGCAGCCUGGUGGUACCGGGCAGUGUUCGAACUGGUCAAAAUGUGGUGAGAAACAGACAAUUUCAUUCUCCUCGCUCAAAGCUGGGAUAGCCUCCAGAUUAAAUUCCACCUCCUGGUAACUCCUACUGGAUGUAUCUUCUACCAAAGGCCUGUGGAAAGGACCUGAACCAGAGGAGGUUUGGCCCUUCGCAUCUGUGGUGCAGAAUCCAGCGGUGCAUUAUUCUGAUUAGAAGGUCUAAAACAGUGAAUAGAGCAUAUAAAACUGUCUACUGUGUUUCAUCAUACAUAAUUCGCUGCAGCAACCUACAGCCAUCCAAGCUGCUUCAGCCUCCCUCUCACAACCCACUGGUGCCCUGAGAGAUGCUGUCCCAGCAGAGGGGUNNNNNNNNNNUCACAACCCUGAGAGAUGCUGUCCCAGCAGAGGGGUCCCUGCGUCACCAGCACCUCAGCACUGACAGAGCAGUGUGAUGCCUUCAGAGCAUUCAGCGGGUCCCUCACCUUUUACUGGGCAUCUGAAACUGCCGUGGGGAGAGGCAGGAGGCACCCCGGGGCCUGGCUGUCCCCACAGAGAGUGCGUGACCACCUCUGGGGAAAGAACUUCGGGAGCGCCCAGGCUGCGCAGCAGAGUCUGAUCUUUAGCUGACUGUCCAUGAGCAUUACACCAACUGGGGGAUACUAUGUAUUGGUAGUGAGUUUAUGGAGCUACUACACCCUGAGAACUAGAUAGUCUUGCAAAUUAACUUUUCUCAUUCAUAGUAGUGGCCAGAAUAAUGCACUCCUGUGCAUUAUCUGCAUUAUCUGGCAGAUAAUGCAGAGUGAGAAUGAAUGAAAGCGGCAUGUUUAAGGGUAUCUGGAAAUUUAGUUAAUCUGUACUCAGAAGCAAUGGAGGAAAGAUGUUUUAUGUUCCAUAACGGUUCCAUAACAUACAUUUGUUUGUGUGCCACUGAUCUUCAGCACCAAAGAUGACAAAAGUGGUGGCACUAGAAUAAAAGGUUUUCCUUGUAAGUCAGAUUUUCAUAGAGCUCUUUCUUGUAAGGUCACAACACAGCAGUACGCAAGCAGCAUUUUUAGGUUGUAUUUCAUAAAUGCAGUCUACGUUUACACAGAGCAAAGAAAUGGAUAUGUGAAGUUUGUGGUGAAAAAAAUAAAAAUAAAAAUAAAGAAGGAAAAAAAAUAAAACAAAGGGAAAAGAAAAGCAAUGCUAAAAUGAUGCUAAAAGAUUACUCCUUUUGGAUGCUUCCAUUAUAAAUCUUUCACUGUGUACAUCAGUGCUGGGAUUUGGGGCCAGAGGUGACUGUUGUGGCACAUUGACAGCAGGUGUGUAGGAUGAAAAAUGUUCCAUUUUUGCUUUUUCCACUCAUUGACUCCUUAGCACUUCUGCACUGUGCUGUCCAAAGCAAUGGUGCCGUUAAGGGGCAAGAGUCAACACCUGAUUAUGAGGAUUAUUGCUGUGGACUGGGUCUGACCUCCUGUCAGUCAGCCCUCACCCUCUGCAGCUACUCAUAAGUCCCCCGUGGGCUGAGAAUUCCUAUGUUUCAGCCUCUGUGUGAUUUUUUGCAAGUCUGAGCAAGAACAUCAGCUCCUGCUGUUCUGCUAGUAGGGAAGAAGUUUAAUUUCUCCCACAUGGUGCAAGCACUUGCACAGCUCAGAACUGAAGGAAGGCAGGAAGGAUAAAUUGCCCUACAGAGAGGUCUCUGUCUUAUCUAUUGAAGGAGCUUUGGUGGCAAGCUGAGACUAGAAGAUUCAACCAGAGUUUGCUAAAGCCUGGUAGGAGGUAAUGGUGGGAACUACUCCAUGUGCCCAUCAAUAAAGUUUGCUCCAUCUUGAGCCCAGUGGCUUGAUACCAGAAGAUGAUCUCCACUUCCUCCAGAACCUGUGUGUACAACGUGUGUACAACAUAGUGGUGGUUUGGACAUCCUAGGAAAUGAUAUUAGAUUGCUGGACCCUGCCAGACUUAUCUAUUACUCUAGCCUGCAGAUGUAGAGGCCUAGACAGACGGGCUACUUGUUCUUGACCAGUAACCAGAAAAUUGACCAAGCUAGACCAAGUCCUCUCCUUAUCUGAAGAGUCCAAAUGCAAAGCAUCCACCAGACCACCACAGGUGAACAGGUACGAGGGAAAAUCAUCUCAUAGCUACCUAACCUUAUAUGUACUGCAAAGGUUUCUGUCACUGCCCUUCAGAUUAUUAAUUUAGGAAAUAAUCUAACUCAUGCAUUCUGGGGAUCUGGUUCUUCUAUACCUGUAAUUAAACUGCCAUCAAAGUGGAUUUCUGUUUGGGAACAGGUAUUUCUGUUUAUUUCCUAAACCAUUCCUUUGGAUCUAUUCUCUUUCAUGAUUACUGAGUUCUGAAUUCCUCAUGAUGAUUACUAUCACGUCAGCCCAGAAAUAAGUUGUAUAACAGUGACACAGAACCACAGCAGCCCCUUCUCCUACCCCAGGCUCUGCUCCUUUACAUCGUUAGUGUCCCAUGGUCUCCACUAAAUGAAAAAGGAAUAUUUACCUUGCACAACUUUUGACAGAGAAAAAUUUACUUGGUCUGGUAGGUUUUCAGGAUAGUCCCUCAGAAACUAACUCUCCUUCCAGCUGAUGUCCCUCAGGUCUGUAUGAGCUCACUUUAGAGACAGGAGUGUUGCCUGGUGAGCAAUGUCCACACUUAAGAGAACAGGAGGGGUGUCAAACCUAGCAGCCUGUCUGCAAAGGAUUGGCGUUGUACAGCUGGAUGCUGCCCAUCAUCUCUUACUGCAAGCAACACGGGGCUGG